rnacentral:rRNA from 1 species
GACGAACGCUGGCGGCGUGCUUAACACAUGCAAGUCGAACGGAAAGGCCCUGCUUUUGUGGGGUGCUCGAGUGGCGAACGGGUGAGUAACACGUGAGUAACCUGCCCUUGACUUUGGGAUAACUUCAGGAAACUGGGGCUAAUACAGGAUAGGAGCUCCUGCUACAUGGUGGGGGUUGGAAAGUUUCGGCGGUUGGGGAUGGACUCGCGGCUUAUCAGCUUGUUGGUGGGGUAGUGGCUUACCAAGGCUUUGACGGGUAGCCGGCCUGAGAGGGUGACCGGCCACAUUGGGACUGAGAUACGGCCCAGACUCCUACGGGAGGCAGCAGUGGGGAAUAUUGCACAAUGGGCGGAAGCCUGAUGCAGCAACGCCGCGUGCGGGAUGACGGCCUUCGGGUUGUAAACCGCUUUCGCCUGUGACGAAGCGUGAGUGACGGUAAUGGGUAAAGAAGCACCGGCUAACUACGUGCCAGCCGCCGCGGUAA